UACGGGGGGGGCAAGCGUUGUUCGGAAUUACUGGGCGUAAAGGGCUCGUAGGCGGCCAACUAAGUCAGACGUGAAAUCCCUCGGCUUAACCGGGGAACUGCGUCUGAUACUGGAUGGCUUGAGUUCGGGAGAGGGAUGCGGAAUUCCAGGUGUAGCGGUGAAAUGCGUAGAUAUCUGGAGGAACACCUAUGGCGAAGGCAGCCCUCUGGGACGGUACUGACGCUGAGACGCGAAAGCGUGGGGAGCGAACAGG
rnacentral:rRNA from 1 species